AGGCUUGACUUCCAUUACUCCUUAAUUAUAAUUAUUUUGCUUUUAUUCUUAGGUUUCGGACUGUUAGAUAUACAGUGCAUGCAGACAGUAUCGUAUACCUUAUAGUUCAUCUAUCCAUCUACUACUUCUACGUGUACACACAUAGUUUAUCCAUUUGCUGCUUCUAUGUGUACACAUGUAGCCUACCUAUUUGCUGCUUUUACGUGUACGCAUGUAGCUUUUACUGCUGUGCCACACUGCUAUGACAAUAUACUACUGGGCACUGUGAUACUUCCGCCUUGUAAUUA
rnacentral:lncRNA from 1 species